GCAGAUGACUAGAAGUGCGUGAGUCCUGCCACUAGGAACAGCUGUCGUCUGGACAAUAGCAAUUACGAUGACCAAUUAGUGAAAAAGUGGUUCAAAGAAUCUGUUUGCCCACCGAGUCACAGCUACACAAGGAAGAUGUUUGAAAUGAACUUGUGUUCCGAAAGCACGUUAUCCCUCCUCCCGGGAAAUUGGUGAAAGGUGCCUAGUUCGGCUUUGUCCUGACUGAAUGGAACGGGCCACACACAUUGCUCAGUGCAUGCUCCGAGGUCUCCCUGCAGGCUGACUCGCUCUUGGUUUGGCUUCUCAUGCUCUUAUCCUUUCAUGUUUUAUUACCUUUGGAUGGAACCCCAUUCAUUUACCAAACAGCCCUCUGUUCGACCUCCUAGCUUCACUUCCGGGGCUACCGUCUCUGGAAAGACAGCAACAAGAAGGCUUCACAGACUUCCCUGACUGACUCAUAAGCCUACCUCACUGCUUAGAUUAAACCAUGUAUGCCGCCAUCUUGGUCCUGGUCAUGGGUAUCAUAAUAGUGUUCUUCUGUUGAUGCCAGCGUCCAGGCUAUUCCAGCUUCGAAUCUCCAGCCCCAGUGCAUCCAGCUCAUGGAGGGUGCAUAUGGAAGGAAGGACAGCUGA